rnacentral:rRNA from 1 species
UUGACCUCAGAUCAGGUAGGAAUACCCGCUGAACUUAAGCAUAUCAAUAAGCGGAGGAAAAGAAACCAACAGGGAUUGCCCUAGUAACGGCGAGUGAAGCGGCAACAGCUCAAAUUUGAAAUCUGGCGCAAGCCCGAGUUGUAAUUUGUAGAGGAUGUUUCUGGCGACGUGCCUUCCGAGUUCCCUGGAACGGGACGCCAUAGAGGGUGAGAGCCCCGUACGGUUGGUUGCCUAGCCUCUGUGAAACUCCUUCGACGAGUCGAGUAGUUUGGGAAUGCUGCUCUAAAUGGGAGGUAUACGUCUUCUAAAGCUAAAUACCGGCCAGAGACCGAUAGCGCACAAGUAGAGUGAUCGAAAGAUGAAAAGCACUUUGAAAAGAGGGUUAAAUAGUACGUGAAAUUGUUGAAAGGGAAGCGUUUAUGACCAGACUUGAGCAGGUUGAUCAUCCGUGGUUCUCCGCGGUGCACUCUGCCUGUUCAGGCCAGCAUCAGUUUGGUUCGGGGGAUAAAGGCUUCGGGAAUGUAGCUCCCUCGGGAGUGUUAUAGACCGUUGCGUAAUACCCUGAUCCGGACUGAGGUUCGCGCUCUGCAAGG